CAACAGCCUGUGUCCCACACCCCUCCAGGCAAGUUUCCUUACUGUACACUGCACUCUCCAGCCUCACCAUAGGCAGAGUGACCCUGCCUUGAGUGUACUUUUCGUCAGAUUCUUCACCAUGGAGAACCCAGGCUUUAUCUCCCAUCCCCCUCGCCCCAGCAAAGACAUCUAGGACCAUUCAGCUUCCAUUCCAGGACUUCUGCUUUCAUUCUAUUUUUGGUUUCUAUGGUUUCCUUUCUUGUGUGUCAAAUUAGCAAUGUAUUCAGAAAGAUGCUUUAUAAAUGUUUUAUAGCAUUUUAGUUGUUUCAACUGGGAGGUUAUUCAGAGUGUAUGUAUAAUCUGCCAAAGCCCCAGAAACAGAUUCCUUACAAUUAAGUCUCAUAAAAGGUUAAACUCUGCAUCUGAGUUACAAUUACAUAUUUUCUUUCAGUGACAAACAGCAAACCUCAAAAGACUACUCAGCAGGCGAUCCACUCAUAGCAGGAAAUCACAUGAGGGAAGGAGACAAAGCAACAACGUGAAGAGUACCAAAACAGCACCGGGCAGCCUGGGAACCCCAGAGGCAGAAGUGCUGCUUCUUCCAAAGCAAGAUGACAGCAACUCCCACCAUGUUUCUUUGACAGCCAGUGGAAAUAAGGCAAAAGAUUCCUUGCAGAGGACUUGUUAACUGUUCUGAAGAGUUGAAAAAUUACAGAAACAUCCAAGGCCCAGAUGACAGGCACGAUGUCAUCUACACAGGGGUGUACAAGGAGGACUGCAAAUGUGAAUGGUGGAAGUGAGGUUCUCCAAAGAGAAGCAGAGGUCCCAGAAGAGACACCACUCUAAGGCAGCAAGCAGGAUGGUCAACAAGGGAAAGACCAGCAAUUCAAAUUUAUAAGACAAAAUGAAUCCACUUCUGCAGAGAUCUCAUUUAACUCUCAAGAAUUGUUUUUGGUUUUUUUUUUGGUACCAGGGAUUGAACUCAGGACCUUGCACUUGUAAAGCAGGCAUGGUGCCACUGAGCUAAAUACCCGGCCCAAGAUCUUUUCCAUCCUAUAUUUGUAUGGUUUUGUUCUCCCUAUAUGCUUUUUCUACAAUAUAGCUGCUACAUUCUGGUUGAAAACUGAGUUGGAUAAGAACCAAAUCAAAUCCAAUGUUUAGGUUCAAUGUUGACCUUUGGGGAAAUCUGAUUUGGUUCUCAUCCAAUUUGCUUUGCGAUGAAAAUCAUGGAAAGAAUUGAGUUCAUGAACAGAGGUACCACUGUAUUGAAUUGCUCCUGGCCACUUUUUUGUACUUCUCAUUUAAAAAUGCACAUGGGUAGGAGGUAUUCUUGGGAGAUAAAGAUGAUAGAAAUGCUAGAAAAGAGCCACGUAAGUGGAAUUAUUUUAAGGAAUGCAAUUCUGAAAUGUCUUAAUAAAGAAUUAACUUAUAUGAAAAAUACUGAUAAUUCUACUUGCCUUUGAGGAAAAAAAAAGAUUUAAAUUAAAGUAGAAAGGCUUUAAGAUUAUUAAAAGGAAUACAGAUGUCAGUAAUAUAAAAGUAGAGGUUUCUUAAUAUUGGCUUUAAUUUUCAGUCACCAGUCAUUCUUUACUAACUUAUCCAACAUUAAAGUUAACUAGUGCAUUUAAGUUAAAUGUUACUUAUCUUUCUUCUCAGUUUAAAAGGAUAACAAAACUGGGGGAACAAGUAAGGAAACAGCAAGAAGAAGGUAGUCACUUUUACCAACUGGCCAUGUAAACCCUUGAAUUUUCAAUUAUUAACCUGCACAAUCAGGUCUUUUCCCUCAUGGUCUCCACUGAAGGCAAAGAUAUCUAUGUUUUUUAUAUUUAAAGGACUCCUUUGAUUAUGAAUUUGGCUUUGCAGAAGCAAGUUGACACUAAAAUCUGUAUUUAGAGUAGUUUUGACAAUUAAGAUAAAAAGUUUUAAAAAGAUACCCUCAACCUACUUUUCUGUGUUACCUAAAACCAAAGUGCAGUAAUUCCAAAUAUUCCCCUCUCAAAGGAAGAAAAAAAAAAGGAAAAAGGAAAUAAUGAAAGAUGGAAAACUAGAGAAUACCAGGAAUCCUGCUAGUCCUUUCUAUGCAUUUUCAUUAUUACUUUUAAUUCCCCAUUUGCAGACAUGGAAAU